rnacentral:tRNA from 3 species
GCGGGUGUAGCUCAAUGGUAGAGCAGCAGCUUCCCAAGCUGAACACGAGGGUUCGAUUCCCUUCACCCGCUCCA